rnacentral:rRNA from 1 species
GGCAGGGCGGCAGCCUACACAUGCAGUCCGAACGGUAGCACAGAGUAAGCUUGCUCUCGGGUGACGAGUGGCGGACGGGUGAGUAAUGUCUGGGAAACUGCCUGAUGGAGGGGGAUAACUACUGGAAACGGUAGCUAAUACCGCAUAACGUCGCAAGACCAAAGAGGGGGACCUUCGGGCCUCUUGCCAUCAGAUGUGCCCAGAUGGGAUUAGCUAGUAGGUGGGGUAACGGCUCACCUAGGCGACGAUCCCUAGCUGGUCUGAGAGGAUGACCAGCCACACUGGAACUGAGACACGGUCCAGACUCCUACGGGAGGCAGCAGUGGGGAAUAUUGCACAAUGGGCGCAAGCCUGAUGCAGCCAUGCCGCGUGUAUGAAGAAGGCCUUCGGGUUGUAAAGUACUUUCAGCGGGGAGGAAGGCGAUGAGGUUAAUAACCUUGUCGAUUGACGUUACCCGCAGAAGAAGCACCGGCUAACUCCGUGCCAGCAGCCGCGGUAAUACGGAGGGUGCAAGCGUUAAUCGGAAUUACUGGGCGUAAAGCGCACGCAGGCGGUCUGUCAAGUCGGAUGUGAAAUCCCCGGGCUCAACCUGGGAACUGCAUUCGAAACUGGCAGGCUAGAGUCUUGUAGAGGGGGGUAGAAUUCCAGGUGUAGCGGUGAAAUGCGUAAAGAUCUGGAGGAAUACCGGUGGCGAAGGCGG